UAAUGAUGGCAGAGAGGUCACACCCGUUCCCAUACCGAACACGGAAGUUAAGCUCUCUAGCGCCGAUGGUAGUUGGGACCUUGUCCCUGUGAGAGCAGGACGUUGCCAGGC
rnacentral:rRNA from 1 species